UACGGAGGGUGCAGGCGUUAUCCGGAUUCACUGGGUUUAAAGGGUGCGUAGGAGGGCAGGUAAGUCAGUGGUGAAAUCCCCGAGCUUAACUUGGGAACUGCCGUUGAUACUAUCUGUCUUGAAUAUUGUGGAGGUAAGCGGAAUAUGUCAUGUAGCGGUGAAAUGCUUAGAUAUGACAUAGAACACCAAUUGCGAAGGCAGCUUACUACACAAUCAUUGACUCUGAUGCACGAAAGCGUGGGGAUCAAACAGG
rnacentral:rRNA from 1 species